AUGUGUUUCAAAAACGUGCACUGUUUUUCAAGGAACCUUUCUGCUCAAAGUAGAGUUGGAAAGUUCAUGGUUGUCACAGUAAAAAAUGAGAUGUCAAGAGUAAGCAAAUGCAAGGAGACUCAACUAGAGGACAUCCAGGUGAAGAACCUUAAAAAAACAUCAAACUAGGAUUCUUUCUUGUGAUAAAAUACAAACUCAAGACAGAUAGCCAUAUUGAUCAUGAACAGCAAGAAAAAAAUGUCGACGAA